CCCUAUAAGAGAAUGGUGAAGAUUCAAUGCGAAAGAAUUAAACCAAAGACACGAGCAGACGUCGAAGUUCACUUGGAUGGGAUUAAGCUAUACAGCAAAAACUGUAGAACUAAGGAAAAUAAAAUCUGAUUCCUAAACAACAAAAGUGAUAUUUCCAGCUAUCGUCGGAUUGGGUUUCACACAUGCGAUAAAUCACUGCAAUGGCUUAAUACAGUAACGAUGCGGGAGAGAGAUAAUCUGCACCGCAUUGAGAGACGCUGCAGAUUAAUCUUAAAUGAUUUAACAUCAGUCAUCAUGACGAGAAAUCGAAUAAAUAAUGGAACAAAUCGAAAAGCGAUACAACAAAUCAUUUCCGUCAAACUAAAUAUUACGCUAGAAUUUCAAGUGCAACGUUACAUCAACACAAGCACAGAUUACAGCUACUGAUCUAUUUUGUACCUGGUGUAUGCUUCUUCCUCGUUUGAGCUGUGCAAUUGUCAAAUGAAAUAAUUAUUGGUAAACUUGACUGAUAAGAAACGUAACGUAUCUC